rnacentral:rRNA from 1 species
CCUACGGGAGGCAGCAGUGAGGAAUAUUGGUCAAUGGGCGCGAGCCUGAACCAGCCAAGUAGCGUGAAGGAUGACUGCCCUACGGGUUGUAAACUUCUUUUAUAAAGGAAUAAAGUGAGGCACGUGUGCCUCUUUGUAUGUACUUUAUGAAUAAGGAUCGGCUAACUCCGUGCCAGCCGCCGCGGUCAUACGGAGGAUCCGAGCGUUACCCGGAUUUAUUGGGUUUAAAGGGAGCGUAGGUGGGUGGGUAAGUCAGUUGUGAAAGUUUGCGGCUCAACCGUGAAAUUGCAAUUGAUACUGGCAGUCUUGAGUACAGUUGAGGUAGGCGGAAUUCGUGGUGUAGCGGUGAAAUGCUUAGAUAUCACGAAGAACUCCGAUUGCGAAGGCAGCUUACUAGCCUGCCACUGACAUUGAUGCACGAAAGUGUGGGUAUCAAACAGGAUUAGAUACCCCUGUAGUC